rnacentral:rRNA from 1 species
CAACAGGGAUUGCCCUAGUAACGGCGAGUGAAGCGGCAACAGCUCAAAUUUGAAAUCUGGCUCUUUCAGAGUCCGAGUUGUAAUUUGCAGAGGGCGCUUUGGCUUUGGCAGCGGUCCAAGUUCCUUGGAACAGGACGUCACAGAGGGUGAGAAUCCCGUACGUGGUCGCUAGCUAUUGCCGUGUAAAGCCCCUUCGACGAGUCGAGUUGUUUGGGAAUGCAGCUCUAAAUGGGAGGUAAAUUUCUUCUAAAGCUAAAUACUGGCCAGAGACCGAUAGCGCACAAGUAGAGUGAUCGAAAGAUGAAAAGCACUUUGGAAAGAGAGUCAAACAGCACGUGAAAUUGUUGAAAGGGAAGCGCUUGCAGCCAGACUUGCUUGCAGUUGCUCAUCCGGGCUUUUGCCCGGUGCACUCUUCUGUAGGCAGGCCAGCAUCAGUUUGGGCGGUGGGAUAAAGGUCUCUGUCACGUACCUCCUUUCGGGGAGGCCUUAUAGGGGAGACGACAUACCACCAGCCUGGACUGAGGUCCGCGCAUCUGCUAGGAUGCUGGCGUAAUGGCUGUAAGCGGCCCGUCUUGAAACACGGACCAAGGAGUCUAACAUCUAUGCGAGUGUUUGGGUGUCAAGCCCGAGCGCGUAAUGAAAGUGAACGGAGGUGGGAACCCGCAAGGGCGCACCAUCGACCGAUCCUGAAGUUUACGGAAGGAUUUGAGUAAGAGCAUGGCUGUUGGGACCCGAAAGAUGGUGAACUAUGCUUGAAUAGGGUGAGCCAGAGGAAACUCUGGUGGAGGCUCGCAGCGGUUCUGACGUGCAAAUCGAUCGUCAAAUUUGGGCAUAGGGGCGAAAGACUAAUCGAU